rnacentral:rRNA from 1 species
UACGGGGGGGGCAAGCGUUGUUCGGAAUUACUGGGCGUAAAGGGUCUGUAGGUGGCCAAUUAAGUCAGACGUGAAAUCCCUCAGCUUAACUGGGGAACUGCGUCUGAGACUGGAUGGCUCGAGUGCAGGAGAGGAAUGCGGAAUUCCUGGUGUAGCGGUGAAAUGCGUAGAUAUCAGGAGGAACACCGGUGGCGACGGCGGCUAUCUGGACAGAAACUGACGCUGAGGCGCGAAAGCUAGGGGAGCAAACAGG